rnacentral:rRNA from 1 species
GACGUAGGAGGCGAGCGUUGUCCGGAUUCAUUGGGCGUAAAGAGCACGCAGGCGGUUUGGCAAGUCGGAUGUGAAAACCCGAAGCUCAACUUCGGGCCUGCAUCCGAAACUGCCCGACUAGAGGUAGGUAGGGGAGAUCGGAAUUCCUGGUGUAGCGGUGAAAUGCGCAGAUAUCAGGAGGAACACCUGAGGUGAAGACGGGUUGCUGGGCUGACACUGACGCUGAGGCGCGAAAGCCAGGGGAGCAAACGGG